AGUGAACGCUGGCGGUAGGCCUAACACAUGCCAGUCGAACGGCAGCACAGUAAGAGCUUGCUCUUACGGGUGGCGAGUGGUGGACGGGUGAGGAAUACAUCGGAAUCUACUUUUUCGUGGGGGAUAACGUAGGGAAACUUACGCUAAUACCGCAUACGACCUACGGGUGAAAGCAGGGGAUCUUCGGAUCUUGCGCGAUUGAAUGAGCCGAUGUCGGAUUAGCUAGUUGGCGGGGUAAAGGCCCACCAAGGCGACGAUCCGUAGCUGGUCUGAGAGGAUGAUCAGCCACACUGGAACUGAGACACGGUCCAGACUCCUACGGGAGGCAGCAGUGGGGAAUAUUGGGCAAUGGGCGCAAGCCUGAUCCAGCCAUGCCGCGUGGGUGAAGAAGGACUUCGGGUUGUAAAGCCCUGUUGUUGGGAAAGAAAAGCAGCAGGAUAAUACCCCGCUGUUCUGACGGUACCCAAAGAAUAAGCACCGGCUAACUUCGUG
rnacentral:rRNA from 1 species